GAGCAGGGAGACCGACACAGGGCUCCGUCUCAGAAUCCUGGGAUCAUGACCUGACCUGAAAGCAGACACUUAACUGAAUGAGUCACCCAGGCGCCCCGUCCUAACCAAUUUUAAGCACAUAGUUCUGUGGCAGGACUUACUACUAACCAGUUAGGCGGAAGCAUCUUUCCUGCUUCCCCCAGGAACACUUUAGACCACAAGGGGUGUUUGCCUCAGGAACAAGAACUCAAGAUGCUGCUUUACAAUAAAACCUGCAGGGUAGGAGGAGCUAGUGAACCAGGAGGGGACUGGGCUGGGCAGAACCACAGACAUGCCUGGUGACUCCGUGUGAACACACCGUUCACGUGGUGGGCUGUAAUGUUUUAAAUCUAUGCCGACAUGUUAACCUCUUCAGAGCACUUCUGAUGUUUAGGCACUGAGUUAGCACAGGUUCUGUAAUACCGUCGGGGGUCUGGAACUUGUUUCAUGAAUUGCAUCGACCCCCUUCUCAGAAUCCCGUCGGUAUGAAGCAGAAUGUAUAGGAUUACCAAGGAACCAACCACACGGAAAUACACCUUUCAGAAUACUCAGGAAAA